CGUGCCCAACACAUACACCAACGUGAUUGAGAACGGCAACUCCAGUAAGGCCCAGUUCAAGCUGAGGAUCUUUUCCUUUAUCAAUAACUCCAUCGUCUACCUGCACUGCAAACUCCGCAUCUGCAUAGAAUCCCCCGGGGCCACGUGCAAAAUCGCAGCCCUUGGACAGAGGACUCAUGUGGACUGGUGGGCAUUUCCCAUUUCUCAACGGCUGAGCUAAGUUCCUUCUUGAGGCCAUAAUAUUCAACCAGCUGUCACAUCGGCACUGCCUUGCCAUGAUACCUAGUGCUUCUAAGAAUUGCAAUAACUUUCGGUUGAUGCAAAAUAGUGAAACCUCUGCCACACACCAGAUGUCCUGGGGACCCCUCAUCCGGUCUGAAGGUGAGCCUCCACGUGCAGAAGCAGGCCUGGGCGCCGGUUACGUGGUCCUCAUUGUGGUGGCCAUCUUCGUGCUGGUGGCGGGAACAGCCACCCUUCUGAUCGUGCGCUACCAGAGAAUGAAUGGGAGAUACAACUUUAAAAUCCAGUCCAACAACUUCCGCUACCAGGUGUUCUACGAAUAGGAGGUGCAGGC
rnacentral:sRNA from 1 species